UGCUGUUGAAAAUGCCAGGUGCCUUGAAAGGGUUUUUUUUAAAAGCGCGGGGCGGGAGGGGGGGGAAUAAACCACCCUCGGAGAAACAAUUGUGUUGAUCUUAUGUCACAUGAAAAACCCUGUUCUGAAAUUACACGGAGGAUAUUUAAUCCCAAAACUGAAGCGUUUUUUCAUGCAAACGCCGCAUGAUUCUGCUCUGGGGGAUUUCCAGAAACGGUGCUGCUCGCUAAUGCGUCUUCCGACAGUGUCAUUCCCCCCUACAGCGCGCGCGCGCCGUGCAACCGGUGUUGAUGCAAAACCCGCUUCCCCCCACCCACAUCAGUGCAAGUGCAACGAGGAUUUUGAUACAACGCCGCUCAUCCCCGAACACACCGUGGAACUAGGGGUAACACUUCCCGAACCAGUUGCAACCGGUGAUAACGCAGAUCCCCACACACGCCACUUGCCCCCGGCGUAAUGCAAUCUGUCCCUUCAAGGGUUAAGCCGUUCCCCGCCCGUAAAUCCUUCCCGAGUGAAGCAAGAGUAAUGUAAACACCGCCUUGCACAUUCACUCGAACCAAACCUUGCCCUUUUGGGGCUGCCCCGUCAGCUAUAAACGAAAUUCAAAAACAUGGUCUAGUUGUAGGAUCUCUCUCUCCCACACAUAAAAGGAGAGAGUUUCUUUUAGUUUCCCAUUAAUCAUCCGUUAAUAUUUUCAACUUCAUGGGUAUAGCAGCCCAGCCCUAGUGACUUUCCUGAGGUUAGCUUGUCAAUGAAAUGGCUAAUUUUUGGACUACACUCCCGUCCUGAUUUUUUCCCCCAGGGCUAAAAGGGGUUAACACGUCUUGUUUUCUGCUUCACAACAGCUCCCCGUUCAUACUGUGUCAAAUUCUUUUAAAGCUACUUUUUUUUUCCUUCUAAAGAAGCUUUAUCAAUGUAUACUAAGUAAACAGAUCCUUGUUUUUGCCUUCCACCCACUGCCCUUUCUCUCCAGACUGAAAUUGGAUUCCUGCCAACCCGGCUGCAGAAAUUGCUGCCGACACACUCGCAGAGGAGCGCAGGGUUUCUAGGGGUGUCUGACAACUCCAAGUCAUCCCAGCAUCAAGUGGCAGGGAAUCUGGAAUCACGUUCCUUGGAAAGAAAUGUUUUACCUUACUGGCUUUUUGUCGAUACCUAUGCUGACAAAUUCAAUCAGAAGACCCAUCUGAAAAAGUAAAGAUCCUUCUAAAAAUUUGGUUUGGAAUGCCAGCUGUAUUUUAAACUUAUGGGGGAAGUCAGGCUUUCCUUGUGACUGUAACUAAACGUGGUGCUCGUGAAACCUAGAGACUGAAGUAUCUUCUUUAUGCAGAGAACAGGCAGAGCAUGAACAGUAGCAAUAUGAGCUACCACACCAUGUGCCUUAUGCCUGUCAGUGUGAGUGGGAAGUGCAGUCUUUUGGGCAGAUCUCAGCUGAUGGAAGUUGUCAUGACUUUUUUGACAUCUCUCAUGACUUCAGUGGAGCUAUGGCAAUUUACACCAUCUGAGCCCCUCCCGGUCCAUUCAAAGCUUGGGAGGAAUGGAAAAGCAAUCCUGGCCAUUACUUUCUAUGACUGGUAAAAUAAUGGAACCAAUGUGAGAGGUAACAGGGAAUGUUCCUGUUAAGAGGGGUAACAACAGUGUGAAUGAUCAACAGCAUGGACUUAAUAAAGAACAAAUCAUUUCAGAGAAAUAUUUUUUUUAACCAAAUUAUAAAAUGUGCCCUCGAUUCUGCAGUGGCAUCUGCUAGUAUGAACCCCUGUGCCCAUAUGGAGUCCCACUGACAUCCGUCGGACUCCACACUGUCACAGGAGGCUGUGUGAGCAGAUCCUGAUGUAGGAUUGGCGUCUGAGUGGGAAAGAGAGAAAAAGAGCAGGUCCGGUAUGUCUGGUUUUCAGUAAAGUGGUUGACAGAGUCUUGUGAAACCUUUCUUGAAAUUAAUUCAACUUGGCUUGGAUUUGAGUAUUUGCACAUGGACUGAAAGCUGGACUGAGUACUGUAAACAAAGCAAAACAAAAUGAGAAACAGCAACGUAUCACACUGUGAGGGGCUGGCCAGUGGAGCAAGCAAAGGAUCGGUGCUAGGCCAAGUUUUAUUUCACAUUUUUAUUAACAUCUAGAGGAAGAGGGUAAGCAGCACACUGGAGGCCCAGUCCUGCUGCCACUGCUCUGGGAGUAGAUUUCCCACUGACUUCAAUAGGAGAUCCAUGUGCAUAACAGCAGCAGCACAAGGCCCUAAACUUGCAGAUAAUACUAAACUGGGAGGAUAUGCAAGCACCAGAGAGGAGAGGAUACAAAUAGUGUAAAGGGACUAGGAGGGAGUCAAAAUAUGGCUACAAAAUUAUACCCAUCCAGGAAAAUGCAAGCUUUGGGAGGGAGUGGGAUGGAGGAUAGAGCAACUUGUAAAGCAGCAAUGCUGAGAAAGACAUGAGGAUGAGUAGACAGCAAAUUGGAUAUGGGCUUUUAACGCAGUAUAUUGGCAAAACAACCUGACAUGCUUGAUUCUCCAGCAUCUUCCAGCCACAUUAGCGAUGGAUGGCACCCUAGUGGUGCAAAGCAGACAUCGUCCUGUUUUAAAUGGGCCUAGAAUUAUUUUCCCGUAUAGAAUCUCAGUCCUGCAAGUACAGAAUAGCAGUUCCUAUGACAAAGCCCUGCCAUAGCCCCCUAUGAAGGGGGCAUGGCCAGGGAAAAGGAGAUAUGGCCAAGGCAUUGUUCCACCUUACCAGUCCUUGACUGCUGUUCUUAGUCAGGGUAAGAUAGAAUAACCUUCAGGCCCUUUUAUCUUGUGCCAGGCACUGAGCUAGCACCCAUUGGCCACAGGGUCAGGGAACUGCAAAGUUGACAUAAAGCCAUCUUUGCAUCUCUCCAGGCCUGCACUAAGCACAGCUCAGCCAGCCCAGAAAAUUGAGGCUAAUGUAUUUUGGGGCUGUGAGACUAAACACAUCCUAUUCUCUCUCUCUCUCUCUCUCUCACACACACACACAUAUAUAUAUAUAUAUAUCAAGGAACUGAUAGUGUCUCUCAGCAUAGCACUGGUUAGCCCACAUCUGGAAUUCUGCCUUCUAUAAAAGACAGAUUGAGAGAAUAGCAACAAAAAUGAUGAAAGGACCAGAAGAUGAAGAUUAACCUAUGAAGAAAGGUUACAAGAGCUAAAUCUGUGUAGUUUAGCUAAAGGAUGAUGGCCAAAGGAGAUACAAGUCUACAAGCAACGGAUGUGUGUAACGAGCAAGCAGAGAGAGGAAUUGCUGAAGCUGAUGAUAAAAAGGAAGUAAACAUCACAUCAUCAGAUAUGUGCCAAGUGAAACAAACAUGGGAUGGCAAAACAGCAUAUUUGAAGAAGAGGGAUACAAACCUUAUAUUCAAGAUAUUGGAUCCAAACACAUAUAGGUCAUUAUCCGGUUGUUUUGCUGUGGGAGGAGAUGCAGAACUCCAGUGGUUUAUUGAUAUAAUUCCUUGAAGGUGAAGGAGCCAUAAAGUGAUCUCAAAACUGAGGCGUGAAGCAGCAUCAUGUAAUAUAGUUAAACAAUAAUGCAAACCACAGAAGAAUCGAUGGAAGAGGAGGGAAAUGAAUUCACCUAGAAAAGAAUGAAUAUUUAAGUCCAGCACAGAAAGAUGUUUGGAGUUUGUGGGGGAAGGUGGAGAAUCCCCUGGUUUCCUCUGCACUGAUCUCCCAUGCCCUGCAGUGUAUAAAAGCCUCCUAAAUAAAACGACUCUAUUAACAGACUACUGUAGGACUAGAGUAAAGAUGCACUCCAAGCUCUGGAUCCAAACCUCAGUUGAGAUAUUCAGAUCUGCUGUUCCAGUUCAGAUCCAUCUUUAGAUUCUGAAAUAUGGCAUUGACUCCUAAAUACCAUAAUACAAGAAAGGGAAUCAGCCAGGCAGGAUUGUUUAAACUCUCAGACAACUCAUAAUUUGACAGUGAUCCCUUUUUAAAGUGGGGGAAAGUGCAGGCUUUGAGUGAUUCAGAUUGAUCACCUUCUAAUCUGCAUUUUAGGUUUGAGUUUUCAUUAUAACAGAAGUGAUUCAAAGAAAAAAAAACUAUCUUAUUUACAUGUAAAACAAUUAAGUUCUGUCUGACUUUUCUGCACUCAGGAGCCAGCCACAUGUUCAGCUGCAGGGUAUUGUAAGGGACAAGAAAAUCUGGGAAAAUGCUUGCACCAAAUUGUUUUGGCUUUCCUAUGUAUUUGCAGUGUAAUUAAGCUGCAUAUAAAAUCAAAAGAAGAUUGAGUAAGCGGGGAGGCUAUAUAGCACAUAGAAGUGUGGGCCUGAUUCACAGCCCACUGAAGUCAAUGUGCAAUGAUUGCAAUGGGCUUUGAACCAGGCCCCCUAUGCAUGAUAACCAAGAUAGAAUAAAUUGCAGCAAUGGACAUAAUACUGUAGUUUAAAAUGAAGCUAGAGCAACAUUUUUAAGAUAGGGUUUUUUCUUGCUGCAGGCAGAUAAUGGAACUAGCCUCCAGACGUGUAAACUCUCAGCAGCCAGCAUGAUCAUCAUGAGCCAAUUUCUAUUGAAAUUAGAUCAAUACUAUUUUUUUCCCUUCCCCUCACUGGCUCCUAAGUGAUUCAUGAAUCUGAAAACUAGUUCAUGAAUCUGAGAGGAAGGGGGAGAGGAGGAGGCGGAAUAUCUGCAGUCAGCAAACCUUGACUCUGUUUCAUGAAUCCAGGGAUUAGUUACAUAAUGUUCUGCUGCCUGCUAGUUGAAACCAGUAUUUAGGUUGCCGUUUAAAACUUUUACUUAUUCAAUUCCCCCCACUCCCCCUCCAAGAACUGGGUAGAGCCACGUUCUUUUACACACACACACACACACACACACACACACACGGCAAAAAUCAGAGCCAUGUUAUAUAGCAACUAUUUGAGUGUAUGUGCAUGUGACACACAUCUUAGCUACACUUUGUGUGUGUGUAUAGAGAGAGACAGACAAGAAUCAGUGCUGCACCAGAUAGCGCUCCUGGGUGUGUCAGAAAUUAGAGCUACGUUAUGUAGGAAUUCUCUGAAUGUGUGUGUGCUUGUGACAAGGUGGAGAGCCACGCUGGGUAAUGUGUGUAUAUGUAAAGACAGACAAGAAUCAGCACCACAUUACCUAGCACUCAUAUGUGUACUUGUAUGUGACAAGAAUAGUUUAACCGGUUAUGGGCCCUUUAAAUCUGUACUGGAGCCAAGUCUCUCUCUCUGUGGAGUUUCAUAAGGAAGCACAUGAUGAGAGCAGUUGGAAACCACAUCUCUGUGAGUGCUGAUUACAGCCGACUGAGGAAAAUGAGAUUUUUAUCUUGCAGGAAUUCAAUUAUCAAAAAAAUAAAAUACAGCCUGUCUGCCUUUAUUCGGCUAAACUCACUGCACCGCGGUGUUUUUAAUUUAACGCAAAGUGGUGCAAGAAUUAUUUAAAACAUUGUGUUUUUUGUAAAGGAGAGAA